rnacentral:rRNA from 1 species
UACGUAGGGCGCAAGCGUUGUCCGGAAUUAUUGGGGCGUAAAAGAGCUCGUAGGCGGUUUGUCGCGUCUGCUGUGAAAAUCCCCGAGGCUCAACCUCGGGCUUGCAGUGGGUACGGGCAGACUAGAGUGCGGUAGGGGAGACUGGAAUUCCUGGUGUAGCGGUGAAAUGCGCAGAUAUCGGGAGGAACACCGGUGGCGAAGGCGGCAUCCUGGACCGACACUGACACUGAGGAGC